rnacentral:misc_RNA from 1 species
AGGUCUUGCCGCUUACACCACGGAAGAGCGAAAAAGGAACACAGCCGUACGGCACCCCGAAGCAGGACACAGGAAGAAGCACGUAGCGUACACGCGCAGCGUCGUGUGAAACACACACACACACACACAUACAUCCGCCUUGCCUUCUCUGUCUCACGUCUCCGUCUUCUCUGUGGUCACCAUGCAGCCACCGCCGAAGCCACUUUGCGACCUCAACGAUACCUGGGAGGAUGUCCUGACCGCCUUCAACGACUGCCUGAAGGGGGAGUCGACCUGGAGCUGCCACUGCCUCGACGGCAUCGACAAGGAGGUCAUCCUCUCCGCACCGGAGAUCAUGGACCCCAAGACGGACUCUGGCUUUAACUGCGAGGAGAUUUACUCCCUUUCCCAUCUCCUGAAGACGGAAGAGGUGCCCUCGGCGGCUACCGUGUCCACGGAGGCGGCGCUGCUGGAUGUAAUGGACUACAUCCACGUCAAGGAGCUCACGUACCUGCAGGGGUACUCCCUCACACAGAGCUACCUGGACUUCCCCUACUUCCUGCGCAUGGAUCUUCUCAAGGAGCAGAACGGCACCCUGCACGCCUACUGCCGCGGCGUGCUGCGCUCCCUCGACUGCGUACUGCGCGCCGUCUUCUCCACUACGAACCGCAGCGAGGAGGAGUUCAUGCUGGUGCCCCCGGAGCUGGACCGUCAGCCCGACUGCAGCGUGGACGAGAUCCUGGCGGAGCUGGAGACAGCCGCGGCGAAGUCCUCGAGCCCCGCCGUGGCUGCCCGGCUGCGCUUCCGCAAGCACUUCCUCGCGACCCUGUCGCUGCUUCUGGACUCGAAGAAGAGGUCGGAUAUUGAGGCGGCGUGCGACAUCUGCCAAGAGGCCCUCGCGCUGCUGGAGAGCGGCCUCUACAUCCGCUCCAGCGAGCCGGCGCCGGAGGAGAAGCUGCUACGCGCGAAGGAGAUCGCCUACUGGGUCAGCGUCAUCACUCCGACCAAGGCGCUGCCCGCAACGUCCUUUGCCGAUGCCAUGUCCGCCUACAAGCGCCUGCUGCAGCAAUUGAUGUCGUUCAAGACGCUUGUGAACAUGGAGUCACUUGCCUGCAUUGCGGACUUCAUCGAGAACUUUGGCGCGCUGCAGCCGCUCCUGCCGGCGCGCUCGCUCUGCGCCGUCGUCCUGUUCAGCCGUGACCCCAACGAGUCGUUCCUUUACGGCGCCCCGCUGCAUCGCCGCACGCUGGAGACACUGACGAGGAGGUACGGCGCCCCGCUCUAUCAAAAAAUCUUCGAGGCCGACGAGGCCAUGGUUGACGGCGUCGUUGAGUACCGCGUAAAGUGCACGAUGAACCGCCUGAAGGUGACGCCGGAGCAGCGAAUGCUCCUGCGCCAGCAGACCAUCGACUCGGUGCGGCGCUGGGUCAUGGAGGUGAGCAAGCUGUAUCUCGUCUUCCUGGAGACGAUGCUGUGCAACCGCGGGCUGGCGCACCGGCGCAUGAUGAACACGAUGGCGGACUUCAUCCGCCUCCAGGAGCUGUCGUACACGACUGACCUCUCCGUCUUCCUCGCCAACAUGCCUGGUGUCUCGAAAGAGCUGGAGGCGGAGUGCAUCCGGUGCAGCACGGUACUGACGCUCUUCUCGAACGACUACGUGCUGCGCGCGAUGGAACUCAUUAUGAGCUUCGAGGUGGAGCUCGACCUGCUGACGCAGGGAGAGCUGGUACCGGCAAUAUGGUACAUCAACUUCGCGCAGCGCGCCCAGAAGGAAAACAUGACGGCGCUGUGCUUGCAGAGCACGAACUUUAUUCCCGCGACGCUGAUCAACAAGCGCACCCACAUUCCGGUGCACAACCUUGCCCUAACGACGCGCACGACGGGACAGACGGAUCUCGCCCGCGACGGCCUGCUCGACGCGUGCUGCUCCCUCUCCGACGCCACCUAUCUCUCUGCGUGCCUUAUGGAGAGGAAGAACCUCAUUGACCUCGCCAGUGCGCCGAAGGGCUCCCUCAUCAGUGUGGAGAACAUCUUCAACCACCGCCUGCUCCUCUGCUACGGCCAGCUGCGCAACCCGCCGCUGCGGUCGUACGAGCGCUGCAUGAGCGCGAAACCGUCGCUGGACGACGUGAGCAAGAUCCCGAUCUACGCCAAAAAGGCGGCCGAGGUGGCCAGCAACGCCGCCGAGAAGCUGAAGGCUGUCAUGUCGAGCAGCGCCGUUGACGAGGUACGCAAGGCUGCCAUUCGGCGCAAUGCGGAGGGGCUGGAGAAGACGGCGCACAUCGUGGCUGCCUCUCUCCGCGCCUUCUCGGCCGUUUGCGAGAACAGCGAGGAGCUGAAGGACUACUGCGCCGCAGUGGAGCGCCCCGGCUUGCCAAGCGCUCUGACCUUCACGUUCCGCAAGAGGAAGGAGACGGCCACUGCGUAGCUGCGAAGUUCGGAGCGUGUCCUAGUGGGUGCGUGCGUGGGUGCUUUAGUGCCAGUGUGGGCGUGUGCCAACUUCUCCAGCUUCCGUACCCCCUCCCUCCCUCCUUCCCUCGCUCGCUCUUUCCCUUGUUUAUGUUUUCGUGUUGUCGUUCUCUGGUGCUCACCGUGUGUCAUGUUACCUUAACUAAUCAAACGUCUCUCGGCCCUCGAGUGUGUGCUGUGUGCGCGCGCCGGGUGAGGAAAGAGGGUGUGCGGUGCGUGUGAUGUGUGUGCUGUGAUAUUGGGGCAGUGGCGGUCGGGAGGGUUUGGCGCUGUGCUUCACCCGUCUUAAGUGUUUGUGUUCUUGUAUUCGUUUUUUUUUCGUUAAGGAACAGCAACGUCACCACCAAUAGCAGCAGCAGUGGAAGCAGCGGCAGCAGCAGCCGAAUGCGGGCGAUCGUGUCGCGAGUCGGGCGACCAUGAAGAAGGAGGGGGCGGGGGGGGCGGGAAAGGGCGGGAGGGGCGCUGAAGGACUUCUCCCCCCUCCCUCCCUCCCUCCGUCCUUCCCGUUGUUUUCUUUUUCUGCAUCUCUUAAAGCUGAAACGAGAAAAAGUGUGUGCCGGGAGAGCCAUCACAGAAACACACACACACUUACACACAGAGCGUAUGUGCGGAGUCAGGCGUACCUCAUCCUAUCGCUGCUCCGCCCCGCCUUUGCCUCUCUCUGUCUCCCGGUUCGCG